rnacentral:rRNA from 1 species
GAUGAACGCUGGCGGCGUGCCUAAUACAUGCAAGUCGAGCGAACGGACGAGAAGCUUGCUUCUCUGAUGUUAGCGGCGGACGGGUGAGUAACACGUGGAUAACCUACCUAUAAGACUGGGAUAACUUCGGAAACCGGAGCUAAUACCGGAUAAUAUUUUGAACCGCAUGGUUCAAAAGUGAAAGACGGUCUUGCUGUCACUUAUAGAUGGAUCCGCGCUGCAUUAGCUAGUUGGUAAGGUAACGGCUUACCAAGGCAACGAUGCAUAGCCGACCUGAGAGGGUGAUCGGCCACACUGGAACUGAGACACGGUCCAGACUCCUACGGGAGGCAGCAGUAGGGAAUCUUCCGCAAUGGGCGAAAGCCUGACGGAGCAACGACGCGUGAGUGAUGAAGGUCUUCGGAUCGUAAAACUCUGUUAUUAGGGAAGAACAUAUGUGUAAGUAACUGUGCACAUCUUGACGGUACCUAAUCAGAAAGCCACGGCUAACUACGUG